AUCCUGUGGAGGUAUGUAUUCUGUGGAGGCGUGUACCCCGUGAUGGUAUGGAUCCUGUGGAGGUGUGUACCCAGUGGAGGUGUGUACCCUGUGGAGGUAUGGAUCCUGCGGAGGUGUGUACCCUAUGGAGGUAUGGAUCCUGUGGAGGUGUGUACCCUGUGGAGGUGUGUAUCCUGCGGAGGUGUGUACCCUGUGGAGGUGUGUACUCUGUGGCGGUAUGGAUCCUGUGGAGGUGUGUACUCUGUGGAAGUGUGUACCCUGUGGAGGUGUGGAUCCUGUGGAGGUAUGUACUCUGUGGAGGCAUGUACCCCGUGAUGGUAUGGAUCCUGUGGAGGUGUGUACCCUAUGGAGGUAUGGAUCCUGUGGAGGUGUGUAACCUGUGGAGGUGUGUACCUUGUGGAGGUGUGGAUCCUGUGGCAGUGUGUACCCUGUAGAGGUGUGUACCCUGUGGAGGUAUGGAUUCU
rnacentral:lncRNA from 1 species